AGUACUCUGUGUCCUGUGCUCCUACAGGCCCAGCCUCUGUGGCCCUGUGACCUGCAGGUAUUGGGAGAUCCACAGCUAAGACACCAGGACCCCGGGAAGCCUAGAAAUGGCCACAAAAACUUGGAAAAACACAGGCUCUUCCACUUACUGGAUGUUUGACAAAAUAUCCUUCUCGGGCCAAAAACAUUGACAUUUUUGGGACCAUUGCAAUUUAGAGAUGUGGCCAUAGAAUUCUCUCUGGAGGAGUGGCAUUGCCUGGACACUGCACAGCGGAAUCUAUAUAGGAAUGUGAUGUUAGAGAACUACAGUAACCUGGUCUUCCUUGGUAUUGUUGUCUCUAAGCCAGACCUGAUCGCCCAUCUGGAGCAAGGAAAAAAACCUUUGACUAUGAAGAGACAUGAGAUGGUAGCCAACCCCUCAGGGCCAGGUGUGGUUGUGGUGCUCAUGUGUAAUCCCAGGAUUUUGGGAGGUGAAGCCAAGAGGAUCCCUGGAGCCCAAAAGUUUGAGAACAGCCUGGGCAACAUAUGGAGACCCCUCUCUAUGAAAAAAAUUUAAUAAUAGCCAGGCAUGGUGGUGUGCAGCU
rnacentral:sRNA from 1 species